GUGAGGAAUAUUGCGCAAUGGAGGCAACUCUGACGCAGCCAUGCCGCGUGCAGGAAGAAGGCGCUACGCGUUGUAAACUGCUUUUAACCGGGAAGAAACCCCAGGACGUGUCCUGGGUUGACGGUACCGGAGGAAUAAGCACCGGCUAACUUCGUGCCAGCAGCCGCGGUAAUACGAAGGGUGCAAGCGUUAUCCGGAUUCAUUGGGUUUAAAGGGUGCGUAGGCGGAGCGUUAAGUCAGUGGUGAAAUCCUGCAGCUUAACUGUAGACUUGCCAUUGAUACUGGCGCUCUUGAGUGCGCUUGAAGUGGGCGGAAUGUGCCGUGUAGCGGUGAAAUGCUUAGAUAUGGCACAGAACACCAAUUGCGAAGGCAGCUUACUAUUUCGUAAUUGACGCUGAGGCACGAAAGCGUGGGGAUCGAACAGGAUUAGAUACCCUGGUAGUCC
rnacentral:rRNA from 1 species